rnacentral:rRNA from 1 species
GAAAGGCGGCCUAAACCCGCGUACAUGCCACCGGGGCAUCACGGAGGCAGGAAAGGCUUCGGCCGGACAGGGAUGGGCAUGCGGCGCAUUAGGCAGUAGGCGGGGUAACGGCCCACCUAACCGACGAUGCGUAGGGGUUCUGAGAGGAAGGUCCCCCACACUGGUACUGAGACACGGACCAGACUCCUACGGGAGGCAGCAGUGAGGAAUAUUGGUCAAUGGUCGGGAGACUGAACCAGCCAAGCCGCGUGAGGGAUGAAGGUACAGAGUAUCGUAAACCUCUUUUGUCAGGGAACAAAGGCGGGGACGUGUCCCCGGAUGAGUGUACCUGAAGAAAAAGCAUCGGCUAACUCCGUGCCAGCAGCCGCGGUAAUACGGAGGAUGCGAGCGUUAUCCGGAUUUAUUGGGUUUAAAGGGAGCGCAGGCGGUCUGUUAAGUCAGCGGUCAAAGCCCGGGGCUCAACCCCGGCCCGCCGUUGAAACUGGCAGUCUCGAGUUGGAGAGAAGUAUGCGGAAUGCGCGGUGUAGCGGUGAAAUGCAUAGAUAUCGCGCAGAACUCCGAUUGCGAAGGCAGCAUGCCGGCUCCACACUGACGCUGAGGCACGAAAGCGUGGGUAUCGAACAGGAUUAGAUACCCUGGUAGUCC